GUGUUUCUGUGAUGUGUUAGCACUGGGCUCUGAAAUCGUGUGAAGAUAAAGUGCUGUUCUGCUCCUGACAUGGCAGAAUCUGAGAAGCGC